AAAGGAAUAGACGGGGGCCCGCACAAGCGGUGGAGCAUGUGGUUUAAUUCGACGCAACGCGAAGAACCUUACCGGGGUUUGACAUGCACGGGACAGGUGUGGAAACACACCCUCCCUUCGGGGUCCGUGCACAGGUGCUGCAUGGCUGUCGUCAGCUCGUGUCGUGAGAUGUUGGGUUAAGUCCCGCAACGAGCGCAACCCUUGUCAUUAGUUGCCAGCGAGUAAUGUCGGGCACUCUAGUGAGACUGCCGGUGGUAAGCCGGAGGAAGGUGGGGAUGACGUCAAGUCCUCAUGGCCCUUACAUCCCGGGCUACACACGUGCUACAAUGGACGAUACAAAGGGUUCCGAUGCCGCGAGGUGGAGGCAAUCCCAAAAAGUCGUUCUCAGUUCGGAUUACAGUCUGCAACUCGACUGUAUGAAGGUGGAAUCGCUAGUAAUCGCGAAUCAGCAGGUCGCGGUGAAUACGUUCCCGGGCCUUGUACACACCGCCCGU
rnacentral:rRNA from 1 species